rnacentral:other from 1 species
AUGUUCCUGAAAUGUUCGAAUAACCUAUAAUUUUGAACCUACAGAUGACAUACGGGAGCCCGACUGUUUUUAUUAGGAACACAGGCCUCAAGCUAAUUCCGACAUCAGUAAAUAAACUGAUGCAACGGCAGAGGAAGCGUGAAUAAUAAAGCAGGGCACCCACCUAGCUUGCGGCUAGGUGUCAAAAUUUAGGGGAACGGCAUUUUGGGGCAUG